rnacentral:rRNA from 1 species
UCUUGCGCAAUGGGCGAAAGCCUGACGCAGCAACGCCGCGUGCGGGAAGAAGGCUUUCGGGCUGUAAACCGCUUUCAGCAGGAACGAAAAUGACGGUACCUGCAGAAGAAGGAGCGGCCAACUAUGUGCCAGCAGCCGCGGUGAUACAUAGGCUUCAAGCGUUGUCAGGAUUUAUUGGGCGUAAAGAGUUCGUAGGCGGUCGAGUAAGUCGGGUGUGAAAAUUCUGGGCUCAACCCAGAGACGCCACCCGAUACUGCUUAACUUGAGUUCGAUAGGGGAGUGGGGAAUUCCUAGUGUAGCGGUGAAAUGCGCAGAUAUUAGGAGGAACACCGGUGGCGAAGGCGCCACUCUGAUCAGAUACUGACGCGAGGAACGA